rnacentral:rRNA from 1 species
AACGAACGCUGGCGGCAGGCUUAACACAUGCAAGUCGAGCGCCCCGCAAGGGGAGCGGCAGACGGGUGAGUAACGCGUGGGUAUCUACCCAUCUCUACGGAAUAACGCAUGGAAACGUGUGCUAAUACCGUAUACGUCCUUCGGGAGAAAGAUUUAUCGGAGAUGGAUGAGCCCGCGUUGGAUUAGCUAGUUGGUGGGGUAAAGGCCUACCAAGGCGACGAUCCAUAGCUGGUCUGAGAGGAUGAUCAGCCACACUGGGACUGAGACACGGCCCAGACUCCUACGGGAGGCAGCAGUGGGGGAUAUUGGACAAUGGGCGCAAGCCUGAUCCAGCCAUGCCGCGUGAGUGAUGAAGGCCCUAGGGUUGUAAAGCUCUUUCACCGGUGAAGAUAAUGACGGUAACCGGAGAAGAAGCCCCGGCUAACUUCGUGCCAGCCGCCGCGGUAAGAC